GGGGGUAGAGUAUCUAAAAAGUAUAUUUUAAGGGGUUUUCAACAAUUUUCCCAAACAAAUAAUAUUGUAUUGUUUUUUAUACUGGGUUAAAUAGGUGUGAUGUUUAAGUAUUUAAUGAAGAAAUUUAUAUGGUAUAUUGUCACCAUACCAUAGCUUAAGUAUUUAAUGAAUAAAUUUAUAGAGUAUAUUUGUCACCAUACGAUAGUUAAAGUAUUUAAUGAAUAAGUUUAUAUAGUAUAUUUGUUUUUGGUAUGUAAUAAGUAGAUGUGAUGUUUCUCAAAGUAUUUAAUGGGUAGAUUUAUGUGGUACAUUUUCAUUUAGUAUAUACUAGUUAAUUAUGUAUUUAAUAUUGGAUGAUUGGAUAAGAGUCACGGGGCAUCUAAAUUAAUUGACUUAAUUAUAUCAAUCUAGUAAAGAUUUUAUGGAUGAAUUAGUUAUUGAUGGCUUUGACAUAGUUUUUCUUUUUUAGAAUUUCAAAAUUUCUAAUAUUAUAAAUUUAUCCGAUUUUUUUACUUCGAUUUUUUUAGCCUAAUCCGAUAUAUUAGCGAUAUCCUUAUAUGAAGUAUUUUUGCUGAUCCGUAUUUUUUACCCGAUUUUUUCAUCCGACUUUUUAAAAUAAAAAUGAUUUGUUUCCAAUUUUAUAGUGAACUGAUUUAUUGAUAAUCCAUGACUUGCUAAUUAUGAUUAGAGCUCUAUUGUUCUUUUCUUUGUUUCUAUUCCAGUGGACCUGGCCGGUUCAUACAAACUUAGUUUUGUACCUAGGUUAGCUCGAAAGAGAUUUAUAGUACAUGGUUUAUUUUUUAGGAUUGUAUGGAAUGAGACCAUUUACUUUUGAUACAAGGUGGUCACAGUUCCUUAAAACCAUUUAAUGUGAAAUUUG
rnacentral:lncRNA from 1 species